UACGCAGGGGGCUAGCGUUGCUCGGAAUCACUGGGCGUAAAGGGUGCGUAGGCGGGUCUUUAAGUCAGGGGUGAAAUCCUGGAGCUCAACUCCAGAACUGCCUUUGAUACUGAGGAUCUUGAGUCCGGGAGAGGUGAGUGGAACUGCGAGUGUAGAGGUGAAAUUCGUAGAUAUUCGCAAGAACACCAGUGGCGAAGGCGGCUCACUGGCCCGGUACUGACGCUGAGGCACGAAAGCGUGGGGAGCAAACAGG
rnacentral:rRNA from 1 species